rnacentral:lncRNA from 1 species
AUAAUUAAAUGACUGGUUAAACUAAUAAACUCUAUUAAUAAUUGUCAUGAUGCAUGAAUUGAUGAUGCAACCAAAAUAAUAUGUCAUAAUAAGUUUGUAUGCUAAAAGAAGUAACAACACUUAUGUUUCUAUUUAUUGCACAGCAACUCCCACUCCCCUCCCUUUCAGAAAGUACUAUUACUAUUGUUUCUGGAAAUCAAGAACAUUGUACCAUGCAUGAUAUUUACCCCUCACAAAUUGGGUUCAAGAAAGAAAAAAAUAUAUAGGAACAAUUUCAAAUGUUUCCGAAAUUCGAGUGUUCCAAUAGUUUUAGCCGUUAAUUUCAAUUAUAAAAAAAAUAUAUAUAAUACAUACUAAUUGAAAUCAAUGAUUAAAAUUACUGAAACAUCGAUGUUCUAGAAACAUUUAAAAAUUUUCCAAAAAUAUAAAGAUAACAAGCAAGAAUAGAAAUCUAGACAUAGAUAUUUGCUGUGUCUAUCCUCAGAAAUACAAAAAAUUACAUAAUUUUUUUUUUAUUUCUAAGACAAAUAUUUUAUAUUUCUGUCCUUAUAAUCAAACAAUUUUUGUAUAUCUGAUAGAAGCUGGCACCUUUGUGUUUUUAUUAACCAUUAUUCAUCCAUUCCAAUGAAGUGACCCACAUACACACACUAUAUACUAAGCUCACACUGCUAUCCAUAAAUAUAGAUUAUAUACAUAAGUGAAAUUUUUAUGCAUUUUUU